rnacentral:rRNA from 1 species
CGGGAGGCAGCAGUGGGGAAUCUUNGACAAUGGGCGCAAGCCUGAUCNAGCCAUGCCGCGUGAGUGAUGAAGGNNUUAGGGUCGUAAAGCUCUUUCGCCAGGGAUGAUAAUGACAGUACCUGGUAAAGAAACCCCGGCUAACUCCGUGCCAGCAGCCGCGGUAAUACGGAGGGGGUUAGCGUUGUUCGGAAUUACUGGGCGUAAAGCGUACGUAGGCGGAUCAGAAAGUAAGGGGUGAAAUCCCAGGGCUCAACCCUGGAACUGCCUCNUAAACUCNUGGUCUUGAGUUCGAGAGAGGUGAGUGGAAUUCCAAGUGUAGAGGUGAAAUUCGUAGAUAUUNGGAGGAACACCAGUGGCGAAGGCGGCUCACUGGCUCGAUACUGACGCUGAGGUACGAAAGUGUGGGGAGCAAACAGGAUUAGAUACCCUGGUAGUCCACACCGUAAACGAUGAAUGCCAGUCGUCGGGCAGNAUNCUNUUCGGUGACACACCUAA